rnacentral:rRNA from 1 species
GAUGAACGCUGGCGGCGCGCUUAACACAUGCAAGUCGAACGGAAAGGCCCAAGCUUGCUUGGGUACUCGAGUGGCGAACGGGUGAGUAACACGUGGGUGAUCUGCCCUGCACUUCGGGAUAAGCCUGGGAAACUGGGUCUAAUACCGGAUAGGACCACUUCUUGGAUGUUGUGGUGGAAAGUUUUUUCGGUGUGGGAUGAGCUCGCGGCCUAUCAGCUUGUUGGUGGGGUAAUGGCCUACCAAGGCGUCGACGGGUAGCCGGCCUGAGAGGGUGUACGGCCACAUUGGGACUGAGAUACGGCCCAGACUCCUACGGGAGGCAGCAGUGGGGAAUAUUGCACAAUGGGCGCAAGCCUGAUGCAGCGACGCCGCGUGGGGGAUGACGGCCUUCGGGUUGUAAACUCCUUUCGCUAGGGACGAAGCGUUUUGUGACGGUACCUGGAGAAGAAGCACCGGCUAACUACGUG